rnacentral:rRNA from 1 species
UGGCUUCCAUCUGGAAGAAGUCUGGAGACAGGUGCUGCAUGGCGUGUCGUCAGCUCGUGUCGUGAGAUGUUGGGUUAAGUCCCGCAACGAGCGCAACCCUUGCCUUUAGUUGCCAGCAGUUCGGCUGGGCACUCUAAAGGGACUGCCGGUGUUAAACCGGAGGAAGGUGGGGAUGACGUCAAGUCCUCAUGGCCUUUAUGACCAGGGCUACACACGUACUACAAUGGCCGAUACAAAGGGCAGCGACACUGCGAGGUGAAGCCAAUCCCGUAAAAUCGGUCUCAGUCCGGAUUGGAGUCUGCAACUCGACUCCAUGAAGUUGGAAUCGCUAGUAAUCGUGGAUCAGCAUGCCACGGUGAAUACGUUCCCGGGCCUU